GAAGUGUCAUCCCCGAAGAGCAGCCACCAUGUCCCCACGACGAUGGGCUGUCACUCUGCUCUGGGUGUGUACCUGUGCCAUUCUCCAGCUGCACUGUGUGACUGCAGAGGAGAGAUGUGUUUUCCCAUUCAAAUAUGGAAACAAAAAGCAUUUUGAUUGCAUAAGGGACAAUUCCCUGUACCACUGGUGCUCUCUCACUCCAAUUUACUCGGGCAAGUGGAAGUACUGUACCACUGAUGAUUACCGCCAGUGUGAGUUUCCCUUUAACUACAAGGGCCAAACUUUCAAUGAAUGCACACUCAAGGACAGUAUUAUCUUCAAGUAUUGGUGCUCAUUGACUCGAAACUACCAUGAAGAUCAAGCUUGGAAGUAUUGCUAUUGAGGUGACUUCCGGGGAACAUGGGUGGAAGUCAUCAAUGCCGACAUUGGACCAUGUUUCAUCCCUACAUGGCACACCUGCCACGGCCAUGGUUGAAGUCGGCAGUCUGACCUGCCCCCCCGUGUGGGUAAUCCAGCACCUCCAGCGUGGGGGUGAGGUCCUCUCCCUCAGCUCCUCCAUGUUCCUGCUGUGCCUCAGGCUGGCCA